GUGUUGUAUGAAAGGAGAGAGGUUAGCGCCCCACUUGACAAGGAUGGAAGGGGCCCUCUGGCCUAACUACACACAUGCAGUUCCGGGUCCCGGCAGGGCCACCUACUUCAUGGCCUCUGACCACUGUUUUCA